rnacentral:rRNA from 1 species
GUACACUCCUACGGGAGGCAGCAGUGGGGAAUAUUGCACAAUGGGCGCAAGCCUGAUGCAGCCAUGCCGCGUGUAUGAAGAAGGCCUUCGGGUUGUAAAGUACUUUCAGCGGGGAGGAAGGCGAUAAGGUUAAUAACCUUGUUGAUUGACGUUACCCGCAGAAGAAGCACCGGCUAACUCCGUGCCAGCAGCCGCGGUAAUACGGAGGGUGCAAGCGUUAAUCGGAAUUACUGGGCGUAAAGCGCACGCAGGCGGUCUGUCAAGUCGGAUGUGAAAUCCCCGGGCUCAACCUGGGAACUGCAUUCGAAACUGGCAGGCUAGAGUCUUGUAGAGGGGGGUAGAAUUCCAGGUGUAGCGGUGAAAUGCGUAGAGAUCUGGAGGAAUACCGGUGGCGAAGGCGGCCCCCUGGACAAAGACUGACGCUCAGGUGCGAAAGCGUGGGGAGCAAACAGGAUUAGAAACCCGAGUAGUCCCAUGA